AUUGAACGCUGGCGGCAGGCCUAACACAUGCAAGUCGAGCGAGCGGCGGACGGGUGAGUAAUGUCUGGGAAACUGCCUGAUGGAGGGGGCUAACUACUGGAAACGGUAGCUAAUACCGCAUACCAUCAGAUGUGCCCAGAUGGGAUUGGCUAGGAGGUGGGGUAACGGCUCACCUAGGCGACGAUCCCUAGCUGGGCUGAGAGGAUGACCAGCCACACGGGAACUGAUACACGGUCCAGACUCGUAAGGGAGGCAGCAGUGGGGAAUAUUGCACAAUGGGCGAAAGCCUGAUGCAGCCAUGCCGCGGGUGUGAAGAAGGCCUUCGGGUUGUAAAGCACUUUCAGCGGGGAGGCGUUACCCGCAGAAGAAGCACCGGCUAACUCCGUGCCAGCAGCCGCGGUAAUUC
rnacentral:rRNA from 1 species